rnacentral:misc_RNA from 1 species
UCGUUCGUCGUUUCUCUUUCCACACCCAGCGUUCUAUCCUCUAGCUACUGCCGGUUGGAUGUCUUUGCACACCCACCCUUUGCGCCCGUUCUCAUUAUCGCGUCGCAGCAACCCCUAAAAUGCCACCCUGGAAAGGUCCCUGGCACCGAUCUAAGCUCUACGAGGAGAUAUUUCGAGAAAGGACGAGAAAAUUGCUAUCUCUCUCUUUCCCUUCUAUUCUAUCUUUAUCCUGCUGCCGUGAGAUUUUCUCUUUGAAGUUGAGAAAGAGUGCAAAAAUGACGGAUCUUUUAAGAAAUUGGCAAUGCUCAGCGAUGCAUAAAUUUUCAUUCUUAUCACUUAUUAUGUUCCAUGACAAAUGAUUCGAGUUUUAAUGUUUUAAUUGAUAUAAUAAUUGAUUCGUGACGUGCUAAAAAGUUAUAUAAUUUUAUUAAAUUUUGUUUUGAAAUUGAUCGUGUAAUAUAAAAAAAAGUAAUUUUAUCAACAUACAUAGCACUUCUGUCAUUCAGUAAUUUAAAAUUUGCCUAUAUGUAAUUUAAUAAUAUAAAUAUUAUUAACGGCAUUUAAAAUGUAGAUAAAACGUGAAUAUUUAGUUCAUAAUAAUUGCACGUAUUACUGUGAUACCUGAUUCCACGACAUCACAUUAAUGUAGAGCACUGUUGAAUAGAAAUCGGGUUAAGAUAAAUCGAUUUCAAGGACAUCACUAUCGGAUUUCCAUCUCUUAGGCUCGGUGGAUUUUCAACGGAUAGGAAAGGAGACGAGAGAUGAGACUGAGGCCAGAGAGAGCGUCAUUAGUUACCGUCGCUUCCAGAGAAAGGUCCCGGUCACCGGACCUGAUUAAAAGACGGAACCCCGAGACGCCCUUGCAAGACGCACUGAGGGGGUGAAAUGUGACGCGAAUUUAAAGGAUCCGCAGUGAUUCGACACGGGGGUGUGGGUGGACAGGAACAACCCUUAAAAAGGUUCCCUUUAAGGACUGCACGCCCGAAGGGUUGCCGCCACCGUUCGGUUUUCCGUAUACGUGAAAGAGCCUUUUAAACGCAUCGUAAAUCAGAUAACAUGCUAUUUCGAUACGUGGAGAUUGACGAAAGGACGAAAUUAGAAACGACAUCGGAGAUCGAAAGGAAGAAAAGACCGUAUGGCCCGUCCGUCGGACUUCGGCGUUCUCACGAAGCCCUUGGGGAGCCCAUAAAAUUCGUCCCUGCUGUCGAGGUAGGCCCGAACGAAAUUUAAUAACAUCCCCCUAGUUACACCUCAAUGGGCACCUUAACAACCCUGCACGGCCAGCCACUUGUCUCACACCCUCGAUAGUGCUCUUCCCUUUCUCCUUAUCAACCCUCCUGGCGUAGAUAUCUAAUAAACCACCUCUUGAACGCCCUUACCUAGUCAGCGAUACCCAACGGCUGGGCAGCUUUGAAAGUUCGAAAGGUGCUCGACUGACCGACCCUCCGCUGGACUGGAUGGAGGCGCAAUCUGUGAGCCGACCGGCGAACCCUGAGCGAAAGGGUUGAAAAAACUCGCGAGCACAUCACUCGAAAUAAACCGAUCGAUAUUCGUUGAGUGUCAUUUGCACUCUAGCUGAAACAAUGUAGGUGACCCAAUUGUGCGAACACAAUUAAUCCGGCGUCGUGCUAAAAUUGUGCGCUAAUAAUUAAUUUGCGUCAUAUCUCUAAUAAAUUGAUAUUCUUUAUUAUUGAAAGAAAAAAUUAUACAAAGAAAGCAUUGAUUAAACCAAUAAAAUCUGGUUUGUUAAGAAAUUUGA